GGCUGCGCCCGCCGGUCGCAGAGCUGUCAGCAAGCUCCAAACCGCGGCUGCCGCCCGGAGGGAAGCAGACGGGGAGUCGGUGGCGGCCGCCGAGUCCGCAUGCGCAGGCUGCAAAGGCCCUUUUGGGCCGGUCCCGCCGCGCUAGGUUGGCGAGUGGGACUAUUUGAUCCUUUCCAGGUUCGCCAGCGUGGUGUUACGAGAGGAAAGCGCAGCCGCAGCGUACGAAUGGGAAGGCCAAACACGGUCCCGGGGAGUCUGAGGGAAGCUGCAGGGCGCCUGGAAUUGGGGUCUCGAGUGAGCCGGUAAAAACCGCCUCCCGCUGAGCGUCCCGGAACAAAUACUGUCUGAACUGAGCCGUAAGCAAGAAACGGUCAGGAGAAGCUGGGGCGAUCUGAUGAUUAGAACAUUUCAGGGACUACCAGAGAGAAGUGCGUAAUUGCUCUAAGGCAGGUAGGUAAUUGGCCUGGAAACUUGGGAACGCCCCGCCCCCCACCCCGACUUUCAGCAAACCACCGUGCCCAGGAAAAAGAGCGAUUGUGGAAGACCCUGUGAAGAAGAGACCAGGAAGGCACUGUGGCUUAAGAGAGCAAGGCGUUCCUGAAUGCAGCCAACAUCAACUGGUAAACAAAAAACUGUGAGAACGGAUCCUGAAUCUUGCGCUUACCAGGGGAAAUUCAGGAGAGAUAUGAACCUGAGCAAGAUGAGGUUGAAGUUACUCAAUGCGGCAUUAAGCCUGUUCACGGCCACUUCCUCCGGCGUCACCAACACACACACUGUACACCAGCAGUAUUUUUACACGGGGUAUGUGUGUUAAGUACUAUCAGGUGGAUAAUUAUUACUUCACCUGUAUUUGCUGCCUUGAUACCAUUAGAGAAACUCAUGAAUUAUAAAUAGCAUAGUGAAUUUGUGAUUCCCUGAAGAUAUACUAAGGUGGACUUUUAAAAAGGCUUCUAUUCCAAAGGGAACUAAUAUGGAGGAAAUGGUUUCGAGAAAGAAAAAAGAAAAAACGGAGUCCUUGAUUAGUUGUGGGGAAGGCAACAUAAUGUAAUGUGAAGAAUAAAGGAGUCAGAUCCAGGAAACCCCAUAACUAUUAUGUAAGUUAUCUUCAUCUGUAAAGUGGUUAGGAUCCUGAUAGUCUCAAAGGUUUGUUUUGAGGUUUCAUGAAGCAGAUAAAUAUUCUUGUAAAUUGUAGAAUGUUAUACCAGUGUUACUCAUUAUUCUAACAAGAGCAGAGUAGUGAAGAGAGGCUCCUUCAGAAAUUCCUUGGGAUUUUUUUUUUUUUGGCUUCUGUUUUUUUAUAUCACAAGGUAGUGUCUCUGAAAAAUGGUAGAUGAUUUCAAUGUCCACAAAUAUGCAGGUGUAGACAUUCAAUUGAGGUACUGUACCCAAGGCAGCCAGCAAAAUGCUGAACAUAGAAAAUAACUUUGUAAACAAAAUGCAAUAUUUCUAGACAGUGAGUUAUCACCAGUGUGCUGCCUAUGACCCUGGCCUUAAGGAAAAAGUAGCAGAGCUGAAGAAGUUCUAAGGAUGGAAAUUAAAAAUUAUUAAGGAGAUAAUAGACUUCGUGUUAUAGGAAAUAAAAAUAGCAAGGGUCUUCAAUGGUGAGUGAUUUUGAGAUUAAUUACAUAACUAUGAAUUCUGUAAUAUUAGAACUAAGCUUUACAAAGCAUUCCUUAAAAAAAGAUAAUUUUACAACAAAGGUAACAUUAGACAGAAAAAAAUGUACAAAACUAAAAUUAAGUGAUUAAUGCUUGGGAAUGUUUCCUCCAAUGUUCAUCUAGUCAUGGUUUUCACGAAUCACUCUUGCCAAUAAAACCGAAAAUCAAAGUAA
rnacentral:lncRNA from 10 species